rnacentral:rRNA from 1 species
AUUGAACGCUGGCGGCAGGCCUAACACAUGCAAGUCGAGCGGAAACGAGUUAUCUGAACCUUCGGGGGACGAUAACGGCGUCGAGCGGCGGACGGGUGAGUAAUGCCUAGGAAAUUGCCCUGAUGUGGGGGAUAACCAUUGGAAACGAUGGCUAAUACCGCAUAAUACCUACGGGUCAAAAGAGGGGGACCUUCGGGGCCUCUCGCGUCAGGAUAUGCCUAGGUGGGAUUAGCUAGUUGGUGAGGUAAUGGGCUCACCAAGGCGACGAUCCCCUAGCUGGUCUGAGAGGAUGAUCAGCCACACUGGAACUGAGACACGGGUCCCAGGACUCCUACGGGAGGCAGGCAGUGGGGAAUAUUGCACAAUGGGCGCAAGCCUGAUGCAGCCAUGCCGCG